AUGAUCCGUGCCCUAGACGUGGGCGGGGCGACGGUGCUCGACCACGCGGGGAAGGCGGCGGCGCUGCUAUCCUACUACUCCGAGCUGUUGGGCAGGGCGCGCCCAUCCAUCUGGCGCUUUGAUUUGGCCGCCCUGUAUUGCAACGCCGCGCGGGUCGACGUGGCGGCUCUGGUUGCUCCGUUCUCGUCCGAGGAGAUCAAGGACGCGGCCGGUCUCCUCGAUCGGUCCAGCGCGCCUGGCCCGGACGGCCUCGGCCUCGCGUUCUACCAAGCCGCCUGGGGAGCCGUCUCCGGGGACCUGCAGCGCCUCUUUGAUGCGGUCCACGCCAGGACUGCAAACCUUGACGCGAUCAACCGGGCGUAUAUUGCCCUCCUGCCUAAGGGGGUGGGUGUGCCAUCGCCUGGCGCCUUCCGCCCUGUCUCCCUACAAAACGGAGAUGUGAAGAUCCUAUGCCGCGGCCUCACCUCGAGGUUGCAACAGCAGAUCGGGGGCAUCAUCGACAUCGACCAAUCUGGGUUCCUGGCGGGGAGAAGCAUCUCCGAGAACUUCGUGUACGCCACCGAGGUGAUCCAGUGCUGCCACCGACGUAGCGCCCCUGCCCUCGUCUUCAAGCUCGACUUCGCCAAGGCGUUCGACUCGGUCGACUGGGGGGCGCUCCGGCAAAUUCUCAUGGUGCGCGGCUUCCCCGACCGAUGGUGUACCUGGAUGGACUUGAUCUUUCGGUCCUCCCGGUCGGCGGUCCUUCUCAACGGCGUGCCUGGG
rnacentral:rRNA from 1 species